rnacentral:ncRNA from 2 species
UAAACUGCGGCUUGUGCUGGUUCUCUGAGUUUUUUUCAGAGAAAAAGAAGGGAACCCGGUGCGAAUCCGGGGCUGCCCCGCAGCGGUGAGCGAGAACGAAUCCACGACAGGCACUAGCUCUUUUGAGCUGGGAAGCAGUGGAUAGUAGGAAUACGGCGAAAGCCGAAGCGCUCGCGAGCCCGAAGACCUGCCAGCAUCCGGCGCGGGAG